rnacentral:rRNA from 1 species
UACAGAGGGUGCGAGCGUUGUCCGGAAUCACUGGGCGUAAAGGGCGCGUAGGCGGCCUGAUAAGUCGGGGGGUGAAAUCCUGUGGCUCAACCACAGGGCUGCCUCCGAGACUGUCGGGCUCGAGCACAGUAGAGGCAGGUGGAAUUCCCGGUGUAGCGGUGGAAUGCGUAGAGAUCGGGAAGAACAUCGGUGGCGAAGGCGGCCUGCUGGGCUGUUGCUGACGCUGAGGCGCGACAGCGUGGGGAGCAACAGG